AUGCCCAACGGCUUACAGUUCAGCUCGCAUUCGGCAUCGUCUGAUAAAGAAAUAUCGAUUGCUCCCAGUUAUAUUGAUGACCCUGGAAAUCAACUUUAUUGUAUGCAGCACAUUGAUAUGCACGAAUAUCGAAUGAUUCCGUUGGACAUGGAAGGUCAUUGCAUAUCUGAUAGCGCUUGGAGAGGCCGACACAAGUAUCACUCGUAUAUACUCUACCUGAUGUAGAAUUUCUGCAAAAUCCAAAUCAAAGAGAAUUGGAUAAACCCACAACAUCUUUCUGGGCAUAAAUAACUGUAAAACGAAAUUUAUUUUGUAUAUCUUUUAACUUUAUUUCUUUUUUUUUAAAUUAUUUUAGACAAAUGCUGAUGAUAAAUCAUAGUUUAAACUUCA